GGACUUGCUGUGGACUGACCACGCAAAUGCCUUCUGCUAUCCGGAGAGCAGAAUAAACUCUUUCUCUGAAUCAACCUUGGUGUCAUUUGAUUUCCUUCCUCCCUCCCAGGAGCAACGCAGACCCCACCAGUCGGUGAAGUCUAAUAAGGCUACAAUAUUUAUAAUUUGUAAAAGGUAUGCUAUCUGUGUUUUAAAAUGUCCUCAAGCAGUCGGUGGCAUUUUAAUUUUUUUUCCUUUUUUCCUUAUUUUGCUUUUUUGGGGGUGGGUGGGAUGGAUAUUUGGUUGGGGAUUAAUUUUAGUAUAAUUGUUCUGUUUUUGUUUUUUGUUGUUUUAUUGGUUGUGUAUAGUUUGUGUUUUAUUUUUAAGGGGUGGGAUCAGGGCUGCCUGGGAGUGGGGCCCCAGCCAGCACAAUGGCUGGGACAAGUUCCACGGGGGGGGGGGGCACUGGGACAUCCAAUCUCUGUGAUCAUGGGCAGGAGGAGGAGUUACGCUAAGACCAGAGCAUGUCAUUAUCGAGGAGGCAGGUUUAGUCGUUGUUUGAAGACUAUCCCUGCCUCCGGGUCUGGCCUUGACCGGAUGGAUACUGGAAUCAACAGGGGAAACCCACAUGACCUGAAGGUGUUGCUGUGUAAUGCCAGGUCAAUGAUGAAUAAAAGCACUGCCAUCCAUGACUUGAUUGUAGAUGGAGGAUUUGACCUGGCACGUGUGACAAAGACCUGGUUGGAUGAAGCAGAUGGGCCUGUCCUUGCCGCUGCUUGCCCACCAGGUUUCUCUUAUGCACAGCAACCCAGGUCAUGUGGGUGGGGAGGGGGGGGUUGCAGUGAUUUUUAGGAAGUCAUUAGCUUGCAUCAGGCGUCCUACUGGGAAGACCCAGUUCUCUGAGUGCAUGUUCUGGAAGUUGGGCAAUAGGGGCAGUACAGGAUUCCUUUUGGUGUACCGACCUCCCCGCUGCACCAAGGAUUCCCUGUCCGAGCUGCUUCAGGUCGUGGCGGAUGUUCUCCUGGAGACACCUAGUUUGGUUGUCCUAGGGGAUUUUAACAUCCAUGCCGACAUGACUUUACAGGGGGCCGCUCGGGACUUCGUGGAAAGCAUGGCCUCCAUGGGGCUGUCCCUGAAUAAGUUUGGCCCAACUCAUAGUCACGGACAUGCCUUAGACCUGGUGUUCACCUCUAGUGACGUGGGUGUUCUGACACUAAGUAAAAGUGAAACAAAAGAAGUGCCAUGGUCAGAUCACCUCCUGGUGCAACUGGACUUCUCCGCGACCCUUCCCCUCUGCAGGGAGGUGGGACCAAUUUGGAUGGUCCGCCCCCGCCACUUAAUGGGUCCAAAUGGUUUCCAGAGAGUGGUAGGGCAUGCUUUAUCCCAUGUUGAAGGCCUUUCAGCUGAUUCCCUGGUGGCCUGCUGGAAUGCGGAGUUAACCAGGGCUAUCAACUGUCUGGCUCCGAAGCGCCCUAUCCAAUUGCAUGGAGCCCAGACAGCCCCGUGGUUUUCUUCGGAGCUGAGGGCAAUGAAACAAUUGCUUAGGCGGCUAGAGCGUCGGCGCCAGAAAACUCAUUCCAAAUCUGACCGGACACAGGUUAGAGUUCAACGUCGAGCCUACCAAGUGGCGAUAGCGACGGCGAAGAAGACUUUCUUCACCGCCUCUAUUCCAUCUGCAGAAAAUAGUAGCAGGAGACUCUUUCAGGUGGUCCGCAAUUUAACGGAACCACCUUUACCACCGGGGCCUUGUAAAGACCCCAAGAUCUCCUGCAACGAUUUUGCAAAGUUUUUUGCAGAUAAAAUCACUCAUAUUCGGAAGGAGCUAGACACCACCAUGGGAGCAGGGCUGGGGCGGGAGAGUGCUAGAGCCCUGUCUGGUCAAGUUGCAUGGAAUCAAUUUCAAUCCGUUACCCCCGAGGAUGUGGACAGGCUGCUUGGACGCGUGAAACCAACCACCUGUCUCCUUGAUCCUUGCCCAUCCUGGCUAAUAAAAGCAAGCCGGGAAGGGCUGGGCGAUGGGCUUUGCGGGGUGGUGAAUGCUUCCCUCUGUGAGGGAAAGUUCCCAGAUCUGCUGAAAGAGGCGGUCAUUAAACCGCUUCUUAAAAAAACAUCUUUAGAUCCAGCCAGUAUGGCCAACUAUCGCCCAGUCUCAAAUCUUCCAAUCUUGGGCAAGCUGAUUGAGCGAGUGGUUGCUGAGCAACUCCAGGCAUGCCUGGAGGAUGCAGACCAUUUGGAUCCCUUCCAAUCAGGAUUCAGGCCUCAUCAUGGGACUAAAACUGCCUUGGUCGCGCUAGUUGCUGAUCUCCGGCGAGCUAGGGACAAAGGUGAGAGCUGUUUCCUAGUUCUGCUGGAUCUCUCAGCGGCCUUUGAUACAAUCGACCAUAACAUCCUUCUGGACCGUCUAGAGGGACUGGGAGCUGAGGGCACUGUUAUACAGUGGUUUUGCUCCUUCCUCCUGGGCCGUGUUCAGAAAGUGGUGGGGGGGAUGAGUGUUCAGACCCCUGGGCCCUCACUUGUGAGGUGCCUGAGGGUUCCGUCCUCUCCCCCAUGCUUUUUAACAUCUAUAUGAAGCUGCUGGGAGAGAUCAGGGGUUUGGACUGGGUGUCCAUCAAUAUGCAGAUGAUACCCAGUUCUACCUCUCUUUCAAAUCAGAACCAGUGAAGGCGGUGAAGGUCCUGUGUGAGUGCCUGGAGGCGGUUGGAGGAUGGAUGGCGGCUAAUGGAUUGAGGUUGAAUCCUGACAAGACAGAAGUACUGUUUUGGGGGGACAGGGGGUGGGCUGGUGUGGAGGACUCCCUGGUCCUGAAUGGGGUAACUGUGCCCCUGAAGGACCAGGAGCGCAGCCCGGGAGUCAUUUUGGACUCACAGCUGUCCAUGGAGGUGCAGGUCAAUUCUGUAUCCAGGGCAGCUGUCUACCAUCUCCACCUGGUACACAGGCUGAGACCCUACCUGCUCGCGGACUGUCUCUCCAGAGUGGUGCAUGCUCUAGUAAUCUCCCGCUUGGACUACUGCAAUGCGCUCUACAUGGGGAUACCUUUGAAGGUGACCUGGAAACUACAACUAAUCCAGAAUGCGGCAGCUAGACUGGUGACUGGGGGCGGCUGCCAAGACCACAUAACACUGGUCUUGAAAGGCCUACAUUGGCUCCCAGUACGUUUCCGAGCACAAUUCAAAGUGUUGGUGUUGACCUUGAAAGCCCUAAACGGCCUCGGUCCUGUAUACCUGAAAGAGCGUCUCCACUCCCAUUUUUCUGCCCGGACGCUGAGGUCCAGCACCAAGGGCCUUCUGGCGGUUCCCUUCCUGCGAGAAGCAAAGCUACAGGCAACCAGGCAGAGGGCCUUCUCGGUAGUGGCGCCUGCCCUAUGAAACGCCCUCCCAUCAGAUGUCAAAGCGAUAAACAACUACCUGACAUUCAGAAGACAUCUUAAGGCAGCCCUGUUCAGGGAAGUUUUUAAUGUGUGACGUUUUAGUGUAUUUUCGGUCUCUGUGGAAGCCACCCAGAGUGGCUGGGGAAACCCAGCCAGAUGGGCAGGGUACACAUAAUAAUAAUAAUAAUAAUAAUUAUUAUUAUUAUUAUUAUUAUUAUUAAUGUCUCCCUAAAAAAACCUGCUUUUCUGUGAACCGCCCAUAGAACUCCUGGAAUAGGGCGGUAUAUAGAUUAAAUCAAUAAUAAUAAUAAUAAUUUCUGCAUUGUUCUCCUUAAAGAGCUGCUCCCUGCUUUGAAGUGCAUCUUGGCAACAGCUGAGAGAGUCCCAGAAGUGGCCCAGUUUACGCCUCCUCCUCCGUCCUUUCCACUGGCAACACAAUGGCCUCCGAGACCCCCUCUGAACGGCCUCUUCUCAGAGGUGGAGUGAAAAGAGGAGCCAGGCAGCUUCCUCAGGUAGGGUAAGAGCAACGGGAGCAGGGAGGAGGGAAGAGGCACAGAUGGGACUGUGAGGAGAACCUGAGCUUACAGGGUUAAACAGCUCAGAGUGUACGCCCUGCCUACUGUUGGGAGGGGGGAACUUCUGCGUCAUAUCUGAGAGCCUCCAGCCUUUGUUCUUUCUCUACUUUCGCUUUUGAGGAGAGUGGACGUGUUUUCACGAUGCUGUUCGCUGUGAUAGAUAAUGGAUAGUCUGCUGUAAAUAAAAAACUGCUUCUAGCUGCUAAUAUCCUGAGUGGACUUUAUUUAAGCACACUCAAGAAUGCACUGGAGUUUUGCAGCUUUCUCUUACCGCUGCUGAUCUCUGCGUGUUGCUCAGAGCCUUUGGAAUGUGGCCUUUGAAGUCCGGAGGCCUGGCCAGUAGCUACGCAGCCGAGCGGGCUGGACGCCAGGAUUUAUCUGAGCAAUAAAUCUUCUUCAGAGGGACAACUCAGCCUCCUUCUGUGUUGAGUGGGGAUGAUGAGGAUCUAAGAGAAGCUCUGUUGUUGUUUUCUUCUUCUUCUUCCAGGCCCUUUUGACCUUUGAGGAUGUUGCUGUCUUUUUCACGGAGGAGGAGUGGGCUCUGCUGGAUCCAGGCCAAAGAGCUCUGCACAAGGAAGUCAUGGAGGAGAAUUAUGAGAUGGUGGCCUCUCUAGGUAAGGGCAGAUUUUUAUUCCUCCUGGCUGUUAGAUGUUGAAGGUGUGAAUCUCCUGUUUGAGCCAUUUGUUCAUGUCAUGUCUUUGGUGACCACUCAUAGAAGAGUAAGAUUCUCUUCCAUGAACAUGAUCUUAAUGGUGUGUCCGUAAGUGAGUCCAAUUCUGGAUCCGCACAUCGUUCCGCAGUGGGGACAUAGGUUUCCGGUCAGGAAUUAAUCACUGCGAGAGUUUGCCAAACAUGCUUUCCUCUUAGCUUGUUUCUCCCUUUUGGCCUGAGUUUGUGUUUCUUCAAAGUCCAUUACACCUUUGGUAAAGGGCGGGUGGCACUGUGGGUUAAACCACAGAGCCUAGGACUUGCCGAUCAGACGGUCGGCGGUUCGAAUCCCCUCAACGGGGUGAGCUCCCGUUGCUCGGUCCCUGCUCCUGCCAACCUAGCAGUUCGAAAGGAUGUCAAAGUGCAAGUAGAAGGUAAACGGCGUUUCCAUGUGCUGCUCUGGUUCGCCAGAAGCGGCUUAGUCAUGCUGGUCACAUGACCCAGAAGCUGUACGCCGGCUCCCUCGGCCAAUAAAGCGAGAUGAGCGCCGCAGCCCCAGAGUCGGCCACAACUGGACCUAACGGUCAGGGGUCCAUUUACCUUUACCUUUAUUCUCGAAUUGAAGCGCUCGCAGGCCAAUGUUUCCCAAUUUUAUGAGAUUAUACUGCAUUUUAAAAAUUUUCCCUUGAGAGCGUCUUGAAACGUCUUUUGUUGUCCUCCGUUAUUUCUCUUUCCAUUCUUAAAUUAGGAAUUGAGUGGUUUCUUUUGAAGGCAAUAAUCAGGCAUCCGAACAACAUGACCAGCCCAAUGAAGUUGAUGUUGAAGAUUGUAGUUUAUAGCAACUCUGUACUUUUGUCAGUAGGUAACUCUUCGUAAGCUCAUAUUGUGGUAUGAAUUUCCCUCCAAAACCUAUGUAAAAUCUACAAAGAGGCUCACAGGGUAAUAAUGGUGGCAUGAGGUUUGCUGGUCAGUGUUGUUUAUCAACUUUUAAUGGGCCACCAGAUACUUUGCUGUCUUUGUUUCACAAGAUUAAUAUUUUUGAAAAUUUUUACAGUCACAUAUGACAUAAACAGCUCUUCUGAUUUUCUUAUUCCACAUAGCAGAGACUCUGAUACUCAAGUCUGAGCUCAUCUCCUCGCUUGGAACAGAAAAAUACAGGGAUGUUGUCCUGGACCAAGUGAGAGGUACAUACUUCCACUUUGCUGUGAGGCUGUACCAUUGUAUGUCUCCUUUCAGGGUGUACAAAUAUAAAAGAAAGCCCUUUUGGAUCAGAACGAGGGCCCAUCUUUCCCAGCAUCCUGGUGCAGGUUUAGGCGAUGUGUACAGUUGGUUGGAAUGUAUCAGUGAGAUAUUACAGAUCAUGGAGGAAGGAGAAAACUGAAUACAGAGGCAUAGCAUUUUCACAGGAGGGGGGGAAGAUGUGUCCCUCCAGAGGUUGCUGUACUACAACUCCCAUCAUCCCUGGUCAUUGGCCAUCUUUGCUUGGGUUGAGGGUACUUAGAGUCCAACCAAAUCUGGAGGGCCAUAGAUGCCUCAUCUCAGCACAGAAGGUUCUCUUGGUGCUCAGUGUUACAUGCGAGUUGAAGGUAGAACUGGAUACUAAGGGUUCUUGAAAUUAUUUUCAGAUUUCCUUUCCUUUCCGAAAACUUUAGUACAUAGAAGAGGGAAGGAUGCUGGAGGUGUUAAGUUAAGAGAAGGUGCUGAUUGGUCUUGCUGUGUGUUAAGUUCUCUGGUUCUCUUCCUUGAAUACCUAACAAUAUUUCUUUAUCCCCCACUUUAAACCAGGUGAUGAAGAAGGCAAUCAGAAUUUUGAGGGGCCAUCUGUAAAGUACUUCAGCAUGAGUGAACACCUUAGCACACAUCUACAAACUAACACAGGGGAGAAACACUUUAAAUGCAUGGAGAGUGGAAAGAGCUUCAGUAAAAAUGGAAACUUCACUAGACAUCAACGAAUUCACACAGGGGAUAAACCAUUUAAAUGCAUGGAGUGUGGGAAAAGUUUUGCUUAUAGUAGCAGCCUUAGAACUCAUCAGCUAAUUCACACAGGGGAAAAACCAUAUAAAUGUAUAAAGUGUGGAAAGAGCUUCAGGCAGUGUUCACACCUUACUGUACAUCUACGAACUCACACACGGGAGAAACCUUUUAAAUGUAUGGAGUGUGGAAAGAGCUUUAGGGAUAGGGAAAUACUUACUGUACAUCAACGAAUUCACACUGGGGAGAAACCAUUUAGAUGCAAGGGUUGUGGGAAGGGUUUCAGUGAAGGUAGAAAACUUACAAUACAUCAACGAACUCACACAGGGGAGAAACCAUAUAAAUGUAUGGAGUGUGGGAAGAGCUUCAGUGAAGGUGGAAAAUUUACUAGACAUCAACGAAUUCACACUGGGGAGAAACCAUUUAAAUGUAUGGAGUGUGGGAAGAGCUUCAGUCAGUGUUCAUACCUUAAUAUACAUCAACGUAUUCACACAGGGGAGAAACCAUAUAAAUGUAUGGAAUGUGGGAAGAGCUUCAGUGAAAAUAGAAACCUUACCUUACACCAACGAAUUCACACUGGGGAGAAACCAUUUAGAUGUAUGGAUUGUGGGAAGAGCUUCCGUCAUGGUCCAUACCUUACUGUACACCAACGUAUUCACAAAGGGGAGAAACCUUUUAAAUGUCUGGAGUGCGGAAAGAGCUUCAGUACAAAUGGAAACUUUACUAGACAUCAAGGAAUUCACAAAGGGGAAAAACCAUUUAAAUGUCUGGAUUGCGGAAUGAGCUUCACUGAGAAUGGAUCUCUUACUCGACAUCAACGAAUUCACACAGGGGAGAAACCAUUUAGAUGUAUGGAGUGCGGAAAGAGCUUCAUUCAGUGUUCACACCUUAGUAGACAUCAACGAACUCACACAGGUGAGAAACCAUAUAAAUGUAUGGAGUGUGGAAAGAGCUUCAUGUGUAGUUGGCAACUCAAUGCGCACCAUCAAAGUCACACCGGGGAGAAACCAUUUAAUUGUAAGGAUUGUGGGAAGGGUUUCAGUCAUUGUAUAAAACUUACAAUACAUCAACGAAUUCACACUGGGGAGAAACCAUUUAGAUGUAUGGAGUGUGGAAAGAGCUUCAUUCAGAGUUCACACCUUAGUAGACAUCAACGAACUCACACAGGGGAGAAACCAUAUAAAUGUAUGGAGUGUGGGAAGGGUUUCAGUCAGAGUGGAUCUCUUAGAAAACAUCAAAAAUCUCACAGAGAAGCAGUUGCUUAAAUGAAAGGCGUGUGAAACGAGUUUCAAUUACAGUGGAGUUCUUAAAUAACGGCUGCUGACGGUCAUGGGAGAGAACCCAUUUAGUUUUAUGGAGUAUGCCACGUUUUCCCCACAGAGUUCACUUUGUACCUCAUAUCGACAAACUCAUAUAGGGAACAAUAAAUUGUAAAUGCAUGGAGUAUAUUUGAUGUUCUGGUGUUUGUAUGGAAAGUUGUACAUACAUGUAUUAAAGCAAAUAAAAUGUCUCAUAAUAGUAAGUAUGAUGAAAGCUAUAAUGUACCGUUAGGGAUGUGCAGAAUGUGAUUCUGGAGAGCUCCUUGUGAGUGAACAUGUGCUGAGAGUCCGUUGAUAUUUGGUCUUUGGCAGAGAGAGUUGGGAAUGGAGACUUGUGGAAAGUGGAGUGUGAUGGAAAGUUUGUUUUGCUGGGCAGGUGGGCUCACCAAGUGUUUUCUUUUUCCCUGCCAGCAAAUGGUUAACAAAUGACUGCUUCUGAUUGGCCAGGGUUCCAGGAGAGGGAGUUGAAAAGGAGAGGUUUUGGAGAGACAGGUUUCAGGUUAGGAGAUAGGUUGGGGAUAGGUAAUGAGAGGAGAGAGAGUUGGUUUUGGGUAGAAACAUCGACUCUGAGGAAUAUAUCACAAGCUAGAGAAACAAGUCUCUGAGCUUAGGAUGAAGGACAGUGUUUCAUGUGCUGUAAGAGUAACAGGCCAGGAAUUAACUGGGAGGCUGAGGCUGAGCCAGGAGAAGUAGAAGCUGGAAAGAUACAGUCUACUUAGGUCUCAUUCCAGUCAGGAGGGGAGAGAUUCUUCUAGAAAAAGAGAAGUGUCCCAAACCAGUUAAGAGGGGUGUGGAGAUGCCUUGGGUCUGUUGCUUGGAGUACCUCAGGAAAAGGGUUGUCAAAGGGGUGUGUAACUCACAGGAAGUACCACCUUGUUAAGGGAGAGAAAGGAAGACCUGAGUCAGAUAAGGCCCUGCACAUGUGGGAGAGCAGUACAUCUUGCAUUCUUUUACUAAACUACUUAUGGUAUUCUGGAACUUUGGGAGUGUCCCAGGAACCCCCCAUCAUUCAGUUUUUACAAACUCAACACACACACACACACACACACACACACACACACACUACAUACGUUACACUUGUUAUAAAUUCAUAGAAAAUCAACCAUAAAUCGGAUCUGCACCGUUCCACUUUUAUUUUACUCCAUGAAGGAAGGACUAGAAAAAGGGGAAGGUUUGAUACAGAGCAGCCAUAAUCCCUGGAGCAUACCAGCAUGUACACAUGAUCAGCUCUUCCCUCUGGGGGCAGGAAACUGCAAACUCCCCUUUGUCACCUGGAAAGUACUCAUAGGGAGGGGGAAAGGGAACCAGCCAGGUGACAGGACACUCAGAUUACCACCACAACUCCUCCCUUUUUGUGAUGUAUCAAUGAUGUAGUUGUGAUGUAGUUUUAGGGGUGUAGUUUGGGGGAUUAGUAACUAAUAAAAGUUGGGGUCUUCUUUUGUUCUGGCCUUCCAUCUUGCUUCAUCUUGUUGUGGGUGGGAGUCCUGUCGCGACAGUUUCCAAUAAAGGCCAAGCCUACAGGCUGCUGUUUUGCUUCAAAUUGUCCUGGUUGGGGUUUUUGUUUUUUGUCCAAGGGAGCCCUCGGAUUCCUCCGUUAACAGGAGAAAUGUUCUCUCAGUGAGGGUCUAUGCUUUGCACUUAGCAGGAAGGUCCCAUAAUACAGUGCUACCUCGGGUUAAAAACUUAAUUCGUUCUAGAGGUCUGUUCUUAACCUGAAACUGUUCUUAAACUGAGGUACCACUUUAGCUAAUGGGGCCUCCUGCUGCCGCCGCCGCCGCGCAAUUUCUGUUCUCAUCCUGAAGCAAAGUUCUUAACCCAAGGUACUAUUUCUGGGUUAGCGGAGUCUGUAACCUGAAGCGUAUGUAACCUGAAGCGUAUGUAACCUGAAGCGUAUGUAACCCGAGGUACCACUGUAAUUGAGAUGUGCAUUUUGUUUUGUUCUGCCUCUGUUGUGUUCUCAAGUGUCAAAGUUAGCUCCCCUCUGGUCCUUCUGCAUACCAUAGCAACCACCCCUCAAAAUGCACCCCUGGUGUUAGGGCUUUCAUUGAAUGACCAUGAGCAAUAUCCUGGCAGCUAGGGGGUGACCCUCCCUGGAGAGA
rnacentral:lncRNA from 1 species